rnacentral:rRNA from 1 species
AAUCUUCGGCAAUGGGCGCAAGCCUGACCGAGCGACGCCGCGUGCGGGAUGAAGGCCUUCGGGUUGUAAACCGCUGUCAGAGGGGAGGAAAUGUGUGGGGGCUAUCCCCCAUGUUUGACCUAUCCUCAGAGGAAGGACGGGCUAAGUUCGUGCCCGCAGCCGCGGUAAGACGAACCGUCCAAACGUGAUUCGGAAUUAUUGGGCUUACAGGGUGCGUAGGCGGUGCGGUAAGUCGGGUGUGAAAUCCCUCAGCUCAACUGAGGAACUGCGCUCGAUACUGCCGUGCUUGAGGAAGAUAGAGGUCAGCGGAACUGAUGGUGGAGCGGUGAAAUGCGUUGAUAUCAUCAGGAACACCAGUGGCGAAAGCGGCUGACUGGAUCUUUUCUGACGCUGAGGCACGAAAGCCAGGGGAGCGAAC